AGAGUUUGAUUCUGGCUCAGAACAACGCUGGCAGCGUGGAUUAGGCAUGCAAGUCGAACGAGAUUCUACAGGUUCAAUCCUUCGGGAGAGAACCUGUAGAGGACAGUGGCGAAAGGGUGAGUAACGCGUGGGUAACCUACCCCCGAGUUGGGGAUAACCCUUCGAAAGGAGGGCUAAUACCGAAUGUGGUCAUCUGUCAUCAGGCGGAAUGACCGAAGAUGGGGAUCCUUCGGGACCUGUCGCUUGGGGAGGGGCCCGCGUCCCAUCAGCUUGUUGGUGAGGUAACGGCUCACCAAGGCUUACGGGUAGCUGGUCUGAGAGGAUGGUCAGCCACACUGGGACUGAGACACUGCCCAGACUCCUACGGGUGGCUGCAGUCGAGGAUCAUUCGCAAUGCGCGAAAGCGUGACGAUGCGACGCUGCGUGGAGGAUGACGGCCUUCGGGUUGUAACUCCUGUCAUCCGGGAGCAAUUGUCACGGUGUCAAUACCACCGGGAUUUGAUAGUACCGGAAGAGGAAGCCACGGCUAACUCUGUGCCAGCAGCCGCGGUAAUACAGAGGUGGCGAGCGUUGUUCGGAUUCACUGGGCGUAAAGGGUGCGUAGGUGGUUUUGUAUGUCGGAUGUGAAAUCUCACUGCUCAACGGUGAAACUGCAUUCGAAACUGCAGAACUAGAGUACAGGAGGGGGAAGCGGAAUUCUUGGUGUAGCGGUGGAAUGCGUUGAUAUCAAGAAGAACACCUGUGGCGAAGGCGGCUUCCUGGAAUGUUACUGACACUGAGGCACGAAAGCUGGGGGAGCAAACAGGAUUAGAUACCCUGGUAGUCCCAGCUGUAAACGUUGUGCACUUGGUGUGGGGAGAUUUGACCCUCCCCGUGCCGGAGCUAACGCGUUAAGUGCACCGCCUGGGGAGUACGGCCGCAAGGCUAAAACUCAAAGAAAUUGACGGGGGCCCGCACAAGCGGAGGAGCAUGCGGCUUAAUUCGAUGCAACGCGAAGAACCUUACCAGGGCUUGACAUGCAGCCGCAUGUCCGCUGAAAGGUGGACAGCCUUCGAGGGAGCUGCACAGGUGCUGCAUGGCUGUCGUCAGUUCGUGCCGUGAGGUGUUGGGUUAAGUCCCGCAACGAACGCAACCCUUGUGUCUAGUUGCUACCGUGGGUGAUGAGCCCGCGAGCACUCUAGACAGACUGCCCGUGCAAGCGGGAGGAAGGUGGGGACGACGUCAAGUCAGUAUGGCCCUUAUGUCUUGGGCUGCACGCGUGCUACAAUGGUCGGUACAGUGGGAAGCAAUACCGCGAGGUGGAGCCAAUCCUCAAAGCCGACCCCAGUUCGGAUUGGAGUCUGCAAUUCGACUCCAUGAAGUAGGAUUCGCUAGUAAUGGCGCAUCAGCUACGGCGCCGUGAAUACGUUCCCGGGCCUUGUACACACCGCCCGUCACAUCAUGUAAGCCUUCUGCACCCGAAGUCGCUGGUUGAACUCGCAUUUCGUGAGACAAAGGCGCCGAAGGUGUGGGGGGUGAUUGGGAUGAAGUCGUAACAAGGUA
rnacentral:rRNA from 1 species